UACGUAGGGUGCAAGCGUUGUCCGGAAUUACUGGGCGUAAAGCGCACGUAGGCGGCUUUGUAAGUUAGAGGUGAAAGCCCGGGGCUCAACUCCGGAAUUGCCUUUAAGACUGCAUCGCUAGAAUUGUGGAGAGGUGAGUGGAAUUCCGAGUGUAGAGGUGAAAUUCGUAGAUAUUCGGGAAGAACACCAGUGGCGAAGGCGGCUCACUGGCCCGGUAC
rnacentral:rRNA from 1 species